rfam:Lepisosteus oculatus linkage group LG3, whole genome shotgun sequence.
UUGGGCUAUGGGGACAUGUACCCCCAGACAUGGUCAGGCAUGGUUGUGGGUGCUCUAUGUGCUCUGGCGGGUGUGCUGACCAUUGCCAUGCCCGUGCCCGUCAUUGUCAACAAU